CCUGGCUCAGGAUGAACGCUAGCGACAGGCCUAACACAUGCAAGUCGAGGGGCAGCACAAGGAGCAAUCUGAGGUGGCGACCGGCGCACGGGUGAGUAACACGUAUGCAACCUGCCUGUAAGCGGGGAAUAACCCGUUGAAAGACGGACUAAUACCGCAUAAUACUAAAUUACUGCAUGGUAAUUUAUUUAAACAUUUAUGGCUUACAGAUGGGCAUGCGCAUGAUUAGCUAGUUGGAGAGGUAACGGCUCCCCAAGGCAACGAUCAUUAGGGGUUCUGAGAGGAAGGUCCCCCACACUGGUACUGAGACACGGACCAGACUCCUACGGGAGGCAGCAGUGAGGAAUAUUGGUCAAUGGACGAGAGUCUGAACCAGCCAAGUCGCGUGCAGGAAGAAUGUCCUAUGGAUUGUAAACUGCUUUUGCAGGGGAAUAAAGUGCAUCACGUGUGAUGUUUUGUAUGUACUCUGCGAAUAAGGAUCGGCUAACUCCGUGCCAGCCGCCGC
rnacentral:rRNA from 1 species